rnacentral:tRNA from 1 species
AAGUAAGAAGCGAUAACUUGCAUUCAGUUUCGACCUGACCUUAGAUGACUACAUCCUUACUUA